AGAUGUUUAUCGCUAUGAAAUCACGUUCAAGAAGUCUCAUUCAGUACAUAUCGCGAUACUUGCCAUCAGUUUACAAGAGCCGCAGGUUGGGUGAGUUAUACAGUCUAUGCUGAAAAGACGUAAAGGAAGCAGUCACCCCAGUCGUGUUUGUGGAGAGGUAUUCCUUCAGAAAUGGAGAAGACAGAAAGCUGCAGAGGCAGGAUUGUUUGCAGAUAACACUGUAGUUCUCCAUCAUGCACAAGGACUCACCUCUUUAACUCUUUACCCCCCCACACACACACACACAGAGAAAUGGUUCCUGGAUCAGUGACUUAAGACUUUGCAGUGGUUUGAUUUUUGCAGAAGAUGUAACUUUGUUUUAAUUCUAAGCUUAUAAUGAAUACAUUGUGACCUUCCAGCAACCCAUAUACUGUACUGUAUACAGAACCAGUGAUGAUAACAAUAGUUAAAAAUAGUAUUUAUCAUAUUGAUAAAGCAUUGUGUUCUCUUUUUCAAGCUUCAUAGAGUAAACUUUACUUCUGGUGCUUUUAUCAUAAAAAAAGCAUCAGUUCUCAUUAUGAGUUUUAGUAAAGGACAUAUUCAUGCACAGCC